rnacentral:rRNA from 1 species
CCCAGUACGAGAGGACCGGAGUGGACGAACCUCUGGUGUUCGGGUUGUGUCGCCAGACGCAUUGCCCGGUAGCUAAGUUCGGAAUCGAUAACCGCUGAAAGCAUCUAAGCGGGAAGCGAGCCCUGAGAUGAGUCUUCCCUGAUACUUUAAGUAUCCUAAAGGGUUGUUCGAGACUAGAACGUUGAUAGGCAGGGUGUGUAAGCGUUGUGAGGCGUUGAGCUAACCUGUACUAAUUGCCCGUGAGGCUUAACCAUACAACACCC